rnacentral:lncRNA from 1 species
AGAUCACCACAGUGACUUGUAACCAACUAAUUGAACUUUAAUAUCGGACCAUCUGAAUUUUUAAUUCAGUGAUAAAAUGUUACUGGGUGUAGUCAAGUACUUAUCAAGUCAGUGUGUGAGUCAAGAUGAAAUUAAUCCCUCUGAAUUAGUAAGAGAUAUGCAUCAGUGUAUUUUAAUUUAGUAAAAUUUUGAUCAGGAUAAUCUAUAUGAUAGAUUUGAAAGGUUGAAAUAUAAUGUAGUUGACAAUAUUAGGGUUGAUAGUCAUACCCUAGGUCAUCUUGAGUAUUAAGAUCAAAGGGAUGAA